rnacentral:rRNA from 1 species
CCUGCUUGAUCCUGCCAAUAGCAUGUUCUUGUCUCAAAAAUUAAGCCAUGCACGUGUAUGUUCACACAGCCGAUACAGUGAAAUGGGAAAUGGCUCAUCAAAUCAGUUAUGUUUCCAUUGAUCACUCCAUCUUUCACUUGGAUAACUGUGGUCAUUCGACAGCUAAUACAUGCUGAGGAGCGCUGACCUACCGUGAUGCGUACAUUCAUCAGACCAAGACCAAUCUAGGCUUGCCCAGUAGCUUUGGUGGCUCUAGAUGACCCCAGCCAUUGCAACUUUUGAUGGUACUUUCUUCUCCUACCAUGGUGACCAAGGGUUAACAGGAAAUUAGGUUUUGAUUACACAGAGGGAGCCUGAGAAACAGCUACCACAUCCAUGCAAGGCAGCAGGCACAGAAAUCACCCUCUCCCAACUAAGGGAGGUAGUGAUGAAAAAUAACAAUACAGGACUGUAUCGAAGCCCCGUAACUGGAAUGCGUGCCCUUCAAAAUCUUUAACUGGCAUCCUUUGGAUGGGAAGUCUGGUGCCAGCAGCUGCAGUAAUUCCAGCUGCAAAAGUGUAUGUUAAAGUUGCUGCAGUCGAAAAACUUGUAAUUGGAUCUUGGGAUCAGGCGGGCAUUCAUCCGCAAGGUAGACUACUGUCUGUCUCAGCCCCUGCCUCUUGGCCCCCAUUGAUGCUCUUUACUGAGUGUCCUGGGGAUUCAAAAGCAUUUACUUUGAGAAAAUGUGUGUUCAAAGCAGGCCGGCCACCUGAAAACAUCAGCUAGGUAUAAUGGAAUAUUAUGACUCUGGUUCUAUUUUGUUGGUUUUCGGAACUGGGACUAUGUUGAGAGAAGCGGCCGGGGGCAAUCGUAUUUUGCCGCUAGAGGUGAAAUUCUUUGACUAACGCAAGACAGUGUUUGCCAAGAAUGUUUUCAUUACUCAAGAAUGGAAGUCAGAGGUUCAAAGACGAUCAGAUACCAUUGUAGUUCUCACCAUAAACAAUUCUGACCAGCAAUUCAGUGGCAUUGUUCCCUUGACCCGCUGAGCAGCUUCUGGGAAACCAAAGUCUUUGGGUUCCAGGGGGAGUAUGGUUGCAGAUCUGGAACUUAAAGGAAUUGAAGGAAGGGCACCACCAGGAGUGGAGGCUGCAGCUUGAUUCGACUCAACACUGAAAACCUUAACUGGUUCGGUCACAGAAAUGAUUAACAGAUGGAUAGCUCAUUCUCGAUUCUGUGGGCGGUGGUGCCUGGCCAUUCUUAGUUUGUGGAGCAAUUUGUCUGGUUAAUUCUAAUAAGACACAAGACUCCUCCAUGCGAACUGGUUACGCGGCCCACAGACUUCUUAGGACAAGUGGCAUUUAGCCACACGAGAUCGAGCAGUAACAGGUCUGUGAUGCCCUAAGAGGUCCGGGGCUGCAGGCGCACUACACUGAACAGAUCAGGAUGUGGCAACCCACAGGUAACCUGUUGAAUCCCGUUUGGGAUUGGGGAGUACAAUUGAUUUCCAUGAAUGUGGAAUUAGGUGCGGGUCAUAAUCUCACAUUGAUUAGUUCCUGUCCUUUGUACACUCUGCCCAUCACUACUACCGACUGGAUGGUUCAGUGAGGUUCUCGAAUCAGCCCCACCGGUGUUCGCAACUGCCCUGGUGGAGCACAAAGAAGACGAUCAAACUUGACUAUCUUGAGAAAGUAAAAGUCGUAACAAAGUUUCUGUAGGUGAGCCUGUAGACC